UUUUUUUUUUUUCCUGGAGAGAGAGUUUUGUUCUGUUGCCCAGGAUGGACUGCAGUGGCUUGAUCUCAUUUCACUGCAACCUCUGCCUCCCAGCUUCAAGCAAUUCUCACACCUCAGCCUCCCAAGAAGCUGGGAUUACAGAAUUAUUCUUCCAGCAAAUCAUUUUUAGAAGACUAUCAUUAUUUUAGAACUUGAGUCUAGAUAUUGUCUAUACUUCUUUAAAUAUAAUUUAUGUACUAUUUGACUUAGGCACUAUUUUACUCAGGACAAUGAAAGUCAAAUAUCCCAACUUUGUUCUUGAAAGAUACUUCACUGUCAUAAAGCAAGAGGAGUGAAAAUUAUUCCUCAUUUCAGUCAGAUUUCAUUAAAAGAAAAUAUAUGAUAUAAAAGAGAAAUGACUUUUCCCUAUAUACGAUAUAAUUUCAGCAAACAAAUUUGCUGGAGAAAAUAUAAUCUAUGAAGAAUUGUUAAGAAAAGAUAAUACAUGGUUAUCUUCAUUAGGUUGUAAUGAGGG
rnacentral:lncRNA from 10 species